UGGGGAAUCUUCCGCAAUGGGCGAAAGCCUGACGGAGCAACGCCGCGUGAACGAAGAAGGCCUUCGGGUCGUAAAGUUCUGUCCUCAGGGAAGAACCCUCAUGGGAGGAAAUGCCCAUGAGCUGACGGUACCUGGGAAGGAAGCCCUGGCUAACUACGUGCCAGCAGCCGCGGUAAUACGUAGAGGGCAAGCGUUGUCCGGAAUUACUGGGCGUAAAGGGUACGCAGGCGGAUAUAUAAGUCAAAUGUGAAAGGCACCGGCUCAACCGGUGAGCGGCAUUUGAAACUGUAUAUCUUGAGUUCAGGAGAGGAGAGCGGAAUUCCUGGUGUAGCGGUGGAAUGCGUAGAUAUCAGGAAGAACACCAGUGGCGAAGGCGGCUCUCUGGCCUGAAACUGACGCUCAGGUACGAAAGCUGGGGGAGCGAACG
rnacentral:rRNA from 1 species